UACAUCAUUGGGUUACCAAAAAGGUCUGUCUGUGAUAUCUGGAAAGUGAUCAUCAUAUCAUCUUCCACAUUCCCUUCAUAUUCCAGGCUUUGGGGAUUAAACUUGGAUCUACUGUAAGCACUCUACUAAUUGACCUAUCUUCUCAGCUCACACACAUAAUUUUCAGGGUAAAGGAAUGGCAGACAUGUGGUGGUGAGAGGAUAACCUGAAGGAUUUGGUUUUCUCCUGCUAUAAUGUGGGUCUCAGGCAUCUAAUUCAAGCCAUGAAGCUUGGCAGUAGGUGCAUGUACCUAUGAGCCAGCAUGCCAAUCCAAGCACUAACUCUUCAGUUUCUUAAGAAUAAGCAAAGUGAUCAAUAAAACUUAAGGAAUGAAUUUUGUCACCAAUCAAGAAGUUCUACAUCAUCUAUCUCUGUAUGCUGACUGUAAAAUUCUAUUUUUUGAGAUUACCACUGUAAGCAAGUGUUACAAUGCUAGAAGAAAGGUAUCUAGACUGCUCAGGAAGUCAGGCUAAACCUGGAGCUGGGGUGCAGUGGCUGAAGGUCUCCCCGCAGGAAACAGCAAUCCUAUUCCUCUCCUGGAGAGAGGCUCUACAGCUGAGCUUUGCUCACCGCCUUAAGGGGGCUGCUCAGCAGAGCUCUGCUGCUUCUCUCCAGCCCAAGAUGUUGCUUCUUUUGCUUCACUCUGCAAAAUGUAGCAAUCUCCCUACUUCUACGAAAAGUUGUUACUUUUUCUUUUCUGCUUCCUUAAGGAAGGUCUUAGCAAGGUUCUUCUGUUACGCUCCGCCUUGCUAGGUCCCCUAAGGAACCCUCUCAGCAAGGUUUUUUUCUGCUCAGUCUCCUAAGGCACGUCUUAACAAGGUUCUUCUUCUCUGUACCAGCAAAUGAAGAUCUUCACCCAAGAAAGAGAUUUAUUUAGGAAGUCCAACAGAGUGCCUGCCUCUACCAGGGUGGGAAAGAACAGCCGACAAAUGAACAGGCAAGGUGGUUUAUACAGGGGUUUUGGGGGGCAGAGUUUCUCCAGGGAGAUUUUCUGUUCAGGAAUUGGUUAGUUUCAAUGGUCAGGGGCACAGAUGACUCUAAUUUCAGAGUCAAACCUUUGUGUUUUUUCCCCA